AACAGCACUGGCACCAUCAGGUCCCUUUAGCUUUCUGUUUUCUGUGUGCCUUUCCCAACCCAGCUCUAACUUUUGGCUAAUUUAUACCUCCCUUACCUUCCCCACCAUCCCACGUGCAGAUGCCGCUGGACUCCACGAGACAGACAGGCAAGAGGGAAGGAGAGACCCUGUUGCUCUUUAGUGUGAACAACUCAGAGCUCAGUUUGGCAUUUUGCUUUUGCCCACUGUUGGAGGCAGGAGCUAGAUGGACCUUUGGCCUGGCCCAGUGUGGCUGCUCCUCUGGUGUUGUGAAAGAGUUGGAGCCCUUGUGUUGCAGGCAAAAGCCUGAAAAUGUGAUCCAAAUGCAUUGCAAGGCUCAGAAACCAGAUGUCAAAGAAGAAACCAAACUGUGCUGCCAUUUUCAAAUAUCUGAAGUUUUAAAGCAAUCUAAGCAUGCUCUGGGUCUUCACCUGUAUUUUCUGAGUGUGGAAAGGCUCAGCAGUAAAUAAAGCUUCACAUUCCAUAGAGGUAAAGGCACAUAAAGUCUUCAGGGGUGCUAAUAUUCUCCAUCUCCCCUCUCUUGCUUGCUUUUGUCUGAUUCUCAUCCUGCAUGGGCUUUGCUUUCCACAUUGUGAGUAGUCACAUUCCUCACAGUGGUAAAGAAAAGCACACAAAUAAAUCUUUGCUGGAACAGAGCAAAUUUUAAAUCAAAUCAGAAUUUUACAAGCAAGGGAGAUCAAGGUUUUAAGCUCUUCCAUCUGUGACUGUGUGCUUGUAGAGUGCAAUGUGCACCAGGCCAGGGGAUACAGCUCGUGACUCUCAAGGCUACUGUAUCACAACAACCAUUAUUACUGCUGCUGCUUCUACUACUACUACUACUAAAAUAGAAUUGUUAAUUGUUAAGUAGGCUUUGUGAUCGCGUUCAUCUGCUUAGGAAGGUGCAAGAAAGAUUUUCUUGAGCUGUUCCACAGCAAAACAGCUAUUUCCACGUUGCAAAAGGAGCUUGACAAU